rnacentral:rRNA from 1 species
UGCUCCAAGAGUUUAUAUAUGUGUUGCUGCAGUUGAAAAGCUCGUAGUUGGGAGUUGGGUUGUGAUGGGUUGGGUGGUUCUGGUCUCGGGUUUUGCCUGUGCCAGUUAAAUACAUGUAUGUGUGGCCCCCUCCAUCCACUUUUUUGUGUUCAUGUAAGGGUGAGUUUUCUCACCUCUACAUUUGAACGUGUUACUUUGAGUAAAUCUGAGUGUUCAAAGCAGACGGAAAUCAUCCGUCUUGAAAGUUGUAGCAUGGAAUAACGUGAUAGGACUCCGGUGGCCCUUUUCAGUUGGUCUAAGCCGUUCCGGAGUAAUGACUAAGAGGGACAGUCGGGGGCACUCGUACUUCCUUGUCAGAGGUGAAAUUCUUGGAUUUAGGAAAGACGAACCACUGCGAAAGCAUUUGCCAAGGAUGUUUUCA